CACGCCGUAAACGAUGGGUACUAGGUGUAGGAGGUAUCGACCCCUUCUGUGCCGUCGUUAACACAAUAAGUACCCCGCCUGGGGAGUACGGUCGCAAGACUAAAACUCAAAGGAAUUGAC
rnacentral:rRNA from 1 species